rnacentral:rRNA from 1 species
AGUGAAGCGGCAACAGCUCAAAUUUGAAAUCUGGCCUCUUCGGGGUCCGAGUUGUAAUUUGUAGAGGGUGUUUCGGGCGCGAUGCCGGUCUAAGUUCCUUGGAACAGGACGUCGCAGAGGGUGAGAAUCCCGUACGUGACCGGCGAUCAAGUCUGUGUGAAGCCCCUUCGACGAGUCGAGUUGUUUGGGAAUGCAGCUCAAAAUGGGUGGUAAAUUUCAUCUAAAGCUAAAUAUUGGCCAGAGACCGAUAGCGGACAAGUAGAGUGAUCGAAAGAUGAAAAGCACUUUGGAAAGAGAGUCAAACAGUACGUGAAAUUGUUGAAAGGGAAGCGCUUGCAAUCAGACCGGUCCGGAGGCGAUCAGCCGCUGCUCGUUCAGCGGUGCACUCGCCUGCGAUCCGGCCAGCAUCGGUUUGGGCGGUGGGAUAAAAGUCCCGGGAAUGUAGCUUCUCUUGGGGAGUCUUAUAGCCCGGGUCGCAAUGCCGCCCGCCCGGACCGAGGACCGCGCUUCGGCUAGGAUGCUGGCGUAAUGGUUGCAAGCG